rnacentral:rRNA from 1 species
UGGGGAACCUGCCCCAUAGUCUGGGAUACCACUUGGAAACAGGUGCUAAUACCGGAUAAGAAAGCGGAUCGCAUGAUCAGCUUUUAAAAGGCGGCGUAAGCUGUCGCUAUGGGAUGGCCCCGCGGUGCAUUAGCUAGUUGGUAAGGUAAAGGCUUACCAAGGCGAUGAUGCAUAGCCGAGUUGAGAGACUGAUCGGCCACAUUGGGACUGAGACACGGCCCAAACUCCUACGGGAGGCAGCAGAC